rnacentral:rRNA from 1 species
GAUGCACGCUGGCGGCGUGCCUAAUACAUGCAAGUCGAGCGAAGCGUGGACGGGUUAGUAACACGUGGCUAACCUCCUAUAAGACUGGGAUAAUUUCGGUAAACCUGAGCUAUACCGGAUACUUAUAGAUUGAUCCGCGCUGCAUUAGCUAGUUGGUUAGUUAACGGCUUACCAGGGCAACGAUGCUUAGCCGACCUGAGAGGGUGAUCGGCCACACUGGAGCGGAGACAGGGUCCCGAUUCCGACGGGAGGCGGCAGUAGGGAAUCUUCCGCAAUGGGCGAAAGCCUGACGGAGAAACGCGACGGAGGUGAGGAAGGUCUUCGAAUCGUAAAACUCUGUUAUUAUGGAAGCGGUACCUAAUCAGAAAGCCACGGCUAACUACGUGCCAGCAGCCGCGGUAAUAC